UAGAAAAUAGGGACCGUUAUAUUUGCACCAAGUGGUAAAAUCUGAUGAAGAAAGAGAAAGUCAAGGUGAAAAGAUGAGAUUUGACGACCGGUGGAUGUGACCAACGGAUGGACGACACAACAUGAGGUGAUGCAAAAAUCAAAGGCACGUAAUCCAAACGACAGCGGUGCACGGCACCCAAGGAGGCAGCUCGUAUUGCCCUAGCCUACCGAGCACUACAAGCUUAGCUUGUUGCACGUGAAGGCCUACUACACAUAG
rnacentral:lncRNA from 1 species